UGUUUCGGCUAGGGGGCCAUCCCGGCUUACCAACCCGAUGCAAACUGCGAAUACCGGAGAAUGUUAUCACGGGAGACACACGGCGGGUGCUAACGUCCGUCGUGAAGAGGGAAACAACCCAGACCGCCAGCUAAGGUCCCAAAGUCAUGGUUAAGUGGGAAACGAUGUGGGAAGGCCCAGACAGCCAGGAUGUUGGCUUAGAAGCAGCCAUCAUUUAAAGAAAGCGUAAUAGCUCACUGGUCGAGUCGGCCUGCGCGGAAGAUGUAACGGGGCUAAACCAUGCACCGAAGCUGCGGCAGCGACACUGUGUGUUGUUGGGUAGGGGAGCGUUCUGUAAGCCUGCGAAGGUGGCCUGUGAGGGUUGCUGGAGGUAUCAGAAGUGCGAAUGCUGACAUAAGUAACGAUAAAGCGGGUGAAAAGCCCGCUCGCCGGAAGACCAAGGGUUCCUGUCCAACGUUAAUCGGGGCAGGGUGAGUCGACCCCUAAGGCGAGGCCGAAAGGCGUAGUCGAUGGGAAACGGGUUAAUAUUCCCGUACUUGGUGUUACUGCGAAGGGGGGACGGAGAAGGCUAUGUUGGCCGGGCGACGGUU
rnacentral:rRNA from 2 species